CAACAUUUUUAGCUCAUCUGAUUUUUUGAAAAAAAAAUGAUGAGUUAUUGUCAUCACUUGAGCGGUUGUCGGCGUCGGCGUCUGCGUCGGCGUUGCCUGGUUAAGUUUUAUGUUUAGGUCAGCUUUUCUCCUAAACUAUCAAAGCUAUUGCUUUGAAACUUGGAAUACUUGUUCACCAUCAUAAAACUGACCCUGUAUAGCAAGAAACAUAACUCCAUCUUGAUUUUUGCAAGAUUUAUGGCCCCUUUUGUACUUAGAAAAUAUCAGAUUUCUUGGUUAAGUUUUAUGUUUAGGUCAACUUUUCUCCUAAACUAUCAAAGCUAUUGCUUUGAAACUUGGAAUACUUGUUCACCAUCAUAAGCUGACCCUGUACAGCAAGCAACAUAACUCCAUCCUGCUUUUUGCAAUAAUUAUUGCCCCUUUUGGACUUAGAAAAUCAGUUUUCUUGGUUAAGUUUUAUGUUUAGGUCAACUUUUUCUCUUAAACUAUCAAAGCUAUUGCUUUGAAACUUGCAACACUUGUUCACCAUCAUAAGCUGACCCUGUACAGCAAGCAACAUAACUCCAUCCUGCUUUUUGCAAUAAUUAUUGCCCCUUUUGGACUUAGAAAAUCAUUUUCUUGCUUGAGUAUUAUGUUUAAGUCCACUUUU